UGUAAAAUUGGCCUAAAAGGGUUUCCUGCCGGCUGCUUGUACCUAUAAAAAGGCCUCCCUGCAUAGAAAGCUAUGGUGGUGAGAGCCAUGGGAAUAGUGAGGAUGAGACUAGCAGCUCACCAAUUGACACAAAGUCUUGAACAUAAGGGUUGUUGUUCCUGACCAGUAGUUUACACUCUUGGCAGCUGUACUGAGGUCUUGAUGGAUUACUUUAGUCAGGGAACAUUGAUUACCCAACAGUGGUAUUAGAGUUAUGGUCGGGAGCACACAAAGGUUCGAGAUACCAAUGUUUGAUGAAAAAAUAAAUUUUAUUAUUUGACAAAGUACUAUUCAAGACCUUUUGGUGUAGCAAGGUCUUCAUCAGGUGUUAGAAGAUGAAAUGCUAGCUUUUAUAAAUGAAACUGAGUGGAUUAAGAUCCAAAUGAGGGUUGUGAGCACAAUGUGUUGAAGGAGACAACACCAAAGGUCUUGUGGGAGAAGCUCAAAAAUAUAUAUGCGUCAAAGUUGCUAACCAAUCGCCUUUGUUUGAAUAUGGAGUUGUAUCAACUCAAAAUGGAGAUGCAAGGAGAUUUUCAUGAUCACAUCAACAAGUUCAAUCAACCAGUAAAUUAAUUGUCGAAUGCAGAUGAUAAAAUUACUGAU